CUCAUACUCCCUACGUCCGGAAAUACUUGUCAUCAAAAUGAAUAAAAGGGGAUGUAUCGAGACGUAUUUUAGUUCUAGAUACAUCUCUUUUUAUCCAUUUUGAUGACAAGUAUUUUCGGACGGAGGGAGUACAUC
rfam:Triticum aestivum genome assembly, contig: Triticum_aestivum_CS42_TGACv1_scaffold_435370_5DL